rnacentral:ncRNA from 2 species
UAUCACAGCCUGCUUUGAUGAGC